rnacentral:rRNA from 1 species
UAGGCUGCAACUCGCCUACAUGAAGUCGGAAUCGCUAGUAAUCGCGGAUCAGCAUGCCGCGGUGAAUACGUUCCCGGGUCUUGUACACACCGCCCGCCACACCAUGGGAGUCGGAAAUGCCCGAAGUCUGUGACCCAACCGCGAGGAGGGAGCAGCCGAAGGCAGGUCGGAUGACUGGGGUGAAGUCGUAACAAGGUAUC